rnacentral:rRNA from 1 species
CCUGGCUCACGAUUAACGCUAGCUACAGGCUUAACACAUGCAAGUCGAGGGGCAGCAUCAUCAAAGCUUGCUUUGAUGGAUGGCGACCGGCGCACGGGUGAGUAACACGUAGUCCACCUGCCGACAACACUGGGAUAGCCUUUCGAAAGAAAGAUUAAUACCGGAUGGCAUAAUUAUUCCGCAUGGGAUAAUUAUUAAAGAAUUUCGGUUGUCGAUGGGGAUGCGUUCCAUUAGGCAGUUGGCGGGGUAACGGCCCACCAAACCUACGAUGGAUAGGGGUUCUGAGAGGAAGGUCCCCCACAUUGGAACUGAGACACGGUCCAAACUCCUACGGGAGGCAGCAGUGAGGAAUAUUGGUCAAUGGACGAGAGUCUGAACCAGCCAAGUAGCGUGAAGGAUGACUGCCCUAUGGGUUGUAAACUUCUUUUAUACGGGAAUAAAGUGAGCCACGUGUGGCUUUUUGUAUGUACCGUAUGAAUAAGGAUCGGCUAACUCCGUGCCAGCAGCCGCGGUAAUACGGAGGAUUCGAGCGUUAUCCGGAUUUAUUGGGUUUAAAGGGAGCGUAGGCGGGUUGUUAAGUCAGUUGUGAAAGUUUGCGGUUCAACCGUAAAAUUGCAGUGGAUACUGGCGACCUUGAGUGCAACAGAGGUAGGCGGAAUUCGCGGUGUAGCGGUGAAAUGCUUAGAUAUCACGAAGAACUUCGAUUGCGAAGGCAGCUUACUGGAUUGUAACUGACGCUGAUGCUCGAAAGUGUGGGUAUCAAACAGGAUUAGAUACCCUGGUAGUCCACACAGUAAACGAUGAAUACUCGCUGUUGGCGAUAUACAGUCAGCGGCCAAGCGAAAGCAUUAAGUAUUCCACCUGGGGAGUACGCCGGCAACGGUGAAACUCAAAGGAAUUGACGGGGGCCCGCACAAGCGGAGGAACAUGUGGUUUAAUUCGAUGAUACGCGAGGAACCUUACCCGGGCUUAAAUUGCAACUGACGGAACCGGAAACGGUUCUUUCUUCGGACAGUUGUGAAGGUGCUGCAUGGUUGUCGUCAGCUCGUGCCGUGAGGUGUCGGCUUAAGUGCCAUAACGAGCGCAACCCUUACGGGUAGUUACCAUCAGGUUAUGCUGGGGACUCUACCCGGACUGCCGUCGUAAGAUGUGAGGAAGGUGGGGAUGACGUCAAAUCAGCACGGCCCUUACGUCCGGGGCUACACACGUGUUACAAUGGGGGGUACAGAAGGCAGCUACACGGCGACGUGGUGCUAAUCCCAAAAGCCUCUCUCAGUUCGGAUUGGAGUCUGCAACCCGACUCCAUGAAGCUGGAUUCGCUAGUAAUCGCGCAUCAGCCACGGCGCGGUGAAUACGUUCCCGGGCCUUGCACACACCGCCCG